rnacentral:rRNA from 1 species
CCAAUAGGGAGGUUAGCAGCAGAUCCAAUUUUCUGCCCCGAAUACAUUAGCAUGGGAUAAUGGAAUAGGACCCUGUCCUCCUAUUUUCAGUUGGUUUUGGCAGCGCGAGGACUAGGGUAAUGAUUAAUAGGGAUAGUUGGGGGCAUUAAUAUUUAAUUGUCAGAGGUGAAAUUCUUGGAUUUAUGAAAGAUUAACUUCUGCGAAAGCAUCUGCCAAGGAUGUUUUCAUUAAUCAAGAACGAAAGUUAGGGGAUCGAAGACGAUCAGAUACCGUCGUAGUCUUAACCAUAAACGAUGCCGACCAGCGAUUAGGAGACGUUGAAUACAAAACACCACCAUCGGUUGCGGUCGUCCUUGGCGUCUCGGUUUCGGCCGGGGCGCGGGGACGGUUUAGCCCGGUGGCACCGGUGAAUGACUCCCCUAGCAGCUUGUGAGAAAUUAAUGGGUUAUUAAGUUCAUCUAAUAAGUAAAGU